UGCAGUCGAACGCUUGCUUUCCUCCCGAGUGCUUGCACUCAAUUGGAAAGAGGAGUGGCGGACGGGUGAGUAACACGUGGGUAACCUACCCAUCAGAGGGGGAUAACACUUGGAAACAGGUGCUAAUACCGCAUAACAGUUUAUGCCGCAUGGCAUAAGAGUGAAAGGCGCUUUCGGGUGUCGCUGAUGGAUGGACCCGCGGUGCAUUAGCUAGUUGGUGAGGUAACGGCUCACCAAGGCCACGAUGCAUAGCCGACCUGAGAGGGUGAUCGGCCACACUGGGACUGAGACACGGCCCAGACUCCUACGGGAGGCAGCAGUAGGGAAUCUUCGGCAAUGGACGAAAGUCUGACCGAGCAACGCCGCGUGAGUGAAGAAGGUUUUCGGAUCGUAAAACUCUGUUGUUAGAGAAGAACAAGGACGUUAGUAACUGAACGUCCCCUGACGGUAUCUAACCAGAAAGCCACGGCUAACUACGUGCCAGCAGCCGCGGUAAUACGUAGGUGGCAAGCGUUGUCCGGAUUUAUUGGGCGUAAAGCGAGCGCAGGCGGUUUCUUAAGUCUGAUGUGAAAGCCCCCGGCUCAACCGGGGAGGGUCAUUGGAAACUGGGAGACUUGAGUGCAGAAGAGGAGAGUGGAAUUCCAUGUGUAGCGGUGAAAUGCGUAGAUAUAUGGAGGAACACCAGUGGCGAA
rnacentral:rRNA from 1 species